ensembl:misc_RNA 7SK 7SK RNA
GGAUGUGAGGGCAAUCUGGCUGCGACAUCUGUCACCCCAUUGAUCGCCAGGGUUGAUUCAGCUGAUCUGGCUGGCUAAGUGGGUGUCCCCUUCCUCCCUCACCGCUCCAUGUGAGUCCCUCCCAGAGCUGCUGCGGGGUCCUUCCAGGAGGACUGCCUUACCCUAAUAGAGACGGAGGGGCUUUCCUUAGAGGGUGAAGGAGUAGCUGCGCUCCCCACUAGAACCUGCAAACAAGCUCUCAAAGGAAAAGAACAGCUACUGCCUGCAGAAGGGAGUAAGUGGCCCUCAAAGCCCGUGGCUCUGCAUUU